AUAAAGACAGUUUAUUAGGGAAAACAAAAGCCAUGCACUCAAGUGAAGCAAGAUAAUUAUUUCACUGCUUCCCAUGGGGAGGCAGGUGUUCAGCCAUCGCCAGGAGAGCAGGGCCUCAUCGUGCGUAGUGCUUGCUUGGAAAGACAAAUGAAAUCACUGCAAACAUUCCCCCUUCCUCUUUCUUCCCCCCAGCUUUAUGUCCUGAGCAUGAUGUCACAUGGUCUGGAAAUCCCUUUGGUCAGUUUGGGUCACCUGUCCCAGCUGUGUCUCCUCCCAGCCUCUCAUGCACUCCCAACUUCUCACCCGUGUGGCAGCACAAAGAGCAGCAAAGGCCUUGGCUCUGUGUAAGCCCUGCUGAGCAACAACAUAAACAUCUCUCUGUUAUCAACCCUGUGUUCAGCACAAAUCCAAACACAGCCACUGUGAAGAAAAUUAACUCUUCCCUAGCUGAAAAAUAUUGAAAUAAGGGAUAAAGUAGAGAAGUGAGAAGAAUUAUACUUUAGGGAAUGCCAAUUUUAUAAAAUUUCCCAUCAAGUUCUGGAAUAUCGCUUCAAAUAGUUGUUUAGCUGUACAGUUUACCCAGCCAGGCCCAGCUUGAAGCAGAGGAUGUUUGAGUGACUCCAUACUUUAAUAAAUGCUUCCCUGUCUUCUACCACCUCAGAAGUGCUUUCAAGUAAUGUAAGUGUACUGUUUCCUCGGCAGCAGGGAAGGGUGAGAAGGAGGGGUAAUGUGAAAGGUAGAGGAGGGGAGAAAAUAAAGUACUGCAGACAUAGCUAGCUAGGAAGGAAGGAGAUGCUCUUCCCAAAGUCAUUUCUCAAACCAGUCAUUUCAUAAAUUAGAAAAACAAGCACAUAAAUACAAUCAACAGUAUAUUGAGUAGGAAGUGUAACUGCAGGUAACAAAAAAUUGAACAUUUACUUUCAUCUUUUCUCUGCUUCCAUUUGUUCUGCAAGUGCAUAAACUUUCCAGACUUGUUAGAGAGAGAAUUUCUGUAAGCAGGACCACAAUGUACAUUGAAAUUUGCGUGUACUAUGAGCACAUCCAUAAAACUUUAGGUGUGAUGAUGACAGCACUAAACAAACAGACUUCUGCAACAGGAGAUUUGAAUAUGCUCCAGAAAUUGCAGACUUUCAGGGUAUCAGGAAUGCAGAAACAAAUAAAAAAUCCUCCAAUAAACACAAGGAAGGAAGCUUACAUUUUAUAUGUUUUGAAUUGUGAGGGUUACUGGCUGGAAGAACCUACCAUUACAGAUUUGAAAGCAUUCACACACACCUGAUAAAAGCAAUGUCCAUCUUUCACAUUUUACAGCCUAAUAAGGGAACCUGUUAUUAAGUAACCUUGAAGGAACUUUCCAAAUAGAACAAAGAAAAUACAAAUCUAUAGCAAUUCUGUUCUUAAAGCUAAACAGAGCACUAAAAAUUAAGUACCUAUAGGGGAAAAAAAAACCCAACAACCUUACUUUUAAACAUGGGCAAAUUUAAUUAUUUAGAAGCAGUUGCUACACAAAUCACAGAUGACAUAUUUUACAGAGAGAAAAAGCAUUGCUAACGUCCACCUCUGCAAGGUAUAAUCUUAUAUUUAGAUGUAAGUGCUGGAUUUAACAGGUCAAAAUUCUGCAAAAACAUUCUACACAGUUAAAAGUAAAUUCUUACACUUGAUAAUUCCACACAUGCUAAAAGUCACUCUGCGCUCUUGCACAGGCUGAAAUAGGAAAAACUAUUUAAAUGCAUUAAAUUAGCAUUUCAGUAAUUGUACUGAGUUAUCUGUUACAAAACUGCAACAAUUUGUGAGAAUAAUAAAAGGUAGUCUGAUUAAGCAUAAUUUAAGAGUCACCUGCUGAGCACCUGAAUCAGCUGGCUAAAUGUAUCUCCGUUGUAUGUUGCCAUGUGAGCUUUUCAAAUGACCAGCUGAUCCACGCCACUUCAAAUAUUUCAUAGUGGUUUUUAUCCUCCCAAAAAUCCAAUUUUUCUUGUGUCUGUUGUGUUUCCAGUCCUGUUGUUAAUACAGUUUAGCUCAAUACUGCUUGGCAGUAUUUAUCUUGUUCUUGCAAUUAGAGAGGUUAGGGGAAAAAAAAUCUCUUUUCCAAAUAUCCCCACUAAUCAUAAUUAUCAAGGGAGAUCUGCAGUAACUGCUUCUCUCUUUAUAUUAAGGUGUGCAUGCACAUGCAUGUAGACAUACCCAUGUAAAAUCAACCUUUUUGGCACAGCAGAUACAGGCCUUAAGACAAUCAGUAAGAGCAGUUCCACUCAGUAUAUAAUGAAAAGGCAGGAAAAACCCCGAAGUUUUAUCCCAAACAGAUGUUUCUGUCAUAGGUGUUCACCAUUGCCAUGUUAGCAUGAUUGAGCAGUUCUGAGCUGCCACACUAAUUAAUGUGUGGUAUAUGAAAUAAUGUAACAAUUAAGUUCGCACGAAGAAUAGAUUUUUUUUCCAGAAAACAAACACAUCCAUUCUUUAAAAUUAACUUCAAAAUUAUUUAGCAAUGGAAGAUAGAACAAAUAGCUAAUUUCUGUUCUUUCUCAUUAAUCAUGCCACAGCAGGGAAGGUUUAUUUAGCUCUGAAAAUGCAAACUCUCCACAAGUCUUAGUUUAUACCUUGAAACUGUGAUAAAAUAUCCCAGACUGCUCAAUGAGACUAAAGUGAAAACUGGCUUAUCAGUUUUCCAGCAAGCUGUGUGAUGAGUAUGACCUCUUGUGUUAGACAUGGGAAUAUUCAUUUUUUUUUAUUCACACAAUGAACAAGACAGUAAAGUCUAAAAGCUUGUAACAGCACUGUCCUUGCAUUUCAACAAAUAAACAGGAUAGCAGAAGCAGAGGUAUAACAUUUGGGACUUGUGACUUGUAUAUAUGAAUUAGAAAACAAAUGUGAUCAUUUCCUCACACAGAUAUCAUAUAUUUCCCCACAUAAAGAUAUCAGAUAUUUUAGUAUAACAAGACCUUAAAAAGAUUUUUUUUUCUUCUUCUUCACAAUUCUAAUAUAAGCUUCCAUGAUCAGAGUAGAUUAAGUUACAGGACAGAGCCUUGAUGACUUCUAAAUAAAACAUGGAGAUUUACAAAUUUCUUAAAAGGCUUUUCAAGGUAAACUAGGUCAUGAGCAUUUAUAUCCUGGUAAAAUGAAAGCUUAAAAGAAAGUACCUUUAAGAAAAAUUAAGGACACAGAAUAAACAGAAAAGGAAAGAUGGAACCUUGCCUAUCUAAUUUUUACCUAGUUCACAAAACAUGUAUUUUGAAACCAUGGUUCAGCAAGACAGUAGAAGCCCAGGUUCCCUGGGAUUUUAAUUUCCAAAGAUUCCUGAGAUUCAUGUGUGUUUCAAAAAACAGGCAAAAAUGGGACAAGCAAGACAGAAGUACAGUCCAUGUUUUUCCAAAGAAAAUGGAAUAUCUGAAGCUGCACUAAACAGCCUGUUCAUUCUUAAGAAUAACCUUUUAUCUUGGCUGUUGGUGUUCAGGGAAAUUAGUGCAAUCUUGAGCAUCCAGAUGUACUUCCGUGUAACUUAAAAAUGAAAGUAUUUUAUCAUUUGUGGAAUGAAGUGUGUGUAGAUUUCCAUUCAAAACUUGGUUGUAAGAAAAUUUUUUUUUAUCACAAGACAUUAUGAUUUUUUGUAUCAUAUAUAUUCCCACUUAUGAGUGCUUUUCAAAAUAACAUGCUAUGUAAAGAUAACUGAAUUUUGGUCUGUCUGUAAAUAAUUUAUCUAUACUGUAACACAUGAUAUUUACCACAUUAGUGAGGGUUGUUUCAAUGUGUGGGUGAUACAUGUGCUUGCUUUAAAAGCUACAUAUUGAUUAGGAAUUAACUUUAAAAUUUUAUAACAGAGCGUAUUUUAAAACGUUGUUAAUGACACUGCCUCACUCAUCUUUCUAACCUACAACUCAUGUAAGGAUUUCAAAGUAAAUUGAAUGUCACAGGAGACACAGAAAUUAUAAGGAUGCGGGCUUUUAUCCUAGAAAGGCUUGGUGGAUUUUGUCUUUAACAUUGCCGAGAAAUUAAAGAUGUAAGGAAGUCUUCCAUGGUAUCAAAUAUUGUCUGGGAAGAAAAAAAAAAAAAAAACAACAAAAAACCCCUCUCUUAUAGUCUUGCCUAGUUGACAGCUGACAGGAAUGACACAGCUGUAACAAGGUAAACCACGUCUCAUUUUCAUAAUUCUUUCCUUAAAUAACCUUUCCUUAAAUAAAUGCAGAAAGCAGACUUUACCUGAUGCAGACAUGUCUCUGCCUAACGGAGCUGCCAGAGCAGAUUACUCAGUGGGGACUUGAGAGGCAAAGAAAGGGGAAAAGGCAAAAUGGCAGCGGAGAACCAACUUCAGGCAGUGCAUGGCAGGGAGCCGGAGACGGAGGGGACCUACUCAAUGACACCGGCCCCGUUUCACGGUACAGCUCCUGCCGACCCGACGGAGCAGGUCUGCAGCCCUCGAACCUCCCCCGGCUGCCGCUGGCCUCACGCCCCGGCUGCGCCUCUCCCUCCUUCGGCUGAGGGAAGAAGGAGCAGCCGGCAGAAGCCGCGCGUCCCCCCCACCCGUCCUUCGUGACAGGCCGGGGAUAUGCCGGGAAGGGCUCCCCGCCCGGCGCCGCGGCCGCGGCCCCUUCCAGCCCUCCGCGGCCCGGGGCGGCGGGCGCGGAGAGAGCCCGACGCUGUGUUUUGCAGGGCGGCGGCGGCGGCGGCGCUGCUGGACAGCUCCGGAGCGCGACGCGGCGCCCAUGUUCCGGAGACGGCGCAGAUGUGACGUGAUGCCCGUUGUUUUGGUGCGCCCGACCAAUCGGACGCGGCGGCUGGAUUCUACGGGAGCCGGGAUGGGCCCGUCGUGGCGGCAGCAGGACGCUCCCCUGCCGACCGUCACGCAUUGCGCAGGGUGCACCACCGCCCGGUCCUCCUGCGGCUUUAACGGCCCCGGCAUGGACCCGCCGCGCCACUUCCCGGCGGGCUUCGGCCCCGAGCAGCAGCAGCAGCACCAGCAACAGCAACAGCAGCAGCAGCGCCCGCCGGCGCCGCCGCACUGCCAGCAGCACGGCCAGGACAAGCAGAGCCUCCAGCAGCAGCAGCAGCAGCAGCAGAGCCCGUGCCUCCAGUGCAACAACUGCGCCUACUACGGGGCUGCUGCGGCAGCCGCGGGGGAUAACCUGCCCCUGCUGCUCCGCGCCUCCUCGCCGCUUUCGGGCGCCUUUCGGACGCACUCCUCGCCGCUGUCUUCCGCCGCCUCCUCCCGGCACGGCAGCCAGCUGAACGUCAGCGAGUUCACCCCGUCCAGCCAUGCUGGCGCGUCCAGACAGCCUCACCAAUAUUCCCAGUACCACCAGUGCCAUAGCCUGCAGCAGAAGCAGGCAGCCAGCCCCAGCAGCAGUGUCAGCAGCAGCAGCACUCACCAUCAUCAUCACCAUCACCAUCACCACCACCAUCACCAGCAGCAGCAACGCCGGGAGAGCAACCCCUUCACCGAAAUAGCCAUGAGCAGCUGCAGGUACAACGGCGGCGUCAUGCGGCCGCUCAGCAACCUGAGCUCGUCCCGCAGGAACCUGCACGAUCUGGACUCCGAGUCGCAGCCUCUCCAGGCGCCGCUCGCCAGCCCCGCCGCCGCUGCCGCUGGCUCUGCCCCCGCCGCCGGCAGCCCCGCCGCCCCUGAGAUCGUGGUCUCCAAGCCCGAACACAACAACUCCAACAACCUGGCGCUGUACAGCUCCGCCGGCCCCGGCCCCGGCCCCGGCACGGGAAGCUCCAACAACGGCGGGGGCAAGUCCAGCAAGAAGAAGAACCAGAACAUCGGCUACAAGCUGGGACACCGCCGGGCUCUCUUCGAGAAGCGUAAGCGCCUGAGCGACUACGCGCUCAUCUUCGGCAUGUUCGGCAUCGUCGUCAUGGUCAUCGAGACCGAACUCUCCUGGGGCGCCUACACCAAGGAGUCUCUGUAUUCCCUCGCUCUGAAAUGCCUUAUUAGCCUCUCCACGAUUAUCCUGCUCGGGCUUAUCAUCGUGUACCACGCAAGAGAAAUCCAGUUGUUCAUGGUGGACAAUGGAGCAGAUGACUGGAGAAUAGCCAUGACUUACGAGCGUAUUUUCUUUAUCUGCUUGGAAAUACUGGUGUGUGCUAUACAUCCCAUACCUGGGAAUUACACAUUCACAUGGACAGCCCGGCUCGCCUUUUCUUACGCUCCAUCCACAACAACAGCUGAUGUGGAUAUUAUUUUAUCUAUACCAAUGUUCUUAAGACUUUAUCUUAUUGCCAGAGUUAUGCUUUUGCAUAGCAAACUUUUCACUGAUGCCUCAUCUAGAAGCAUUGGAGCAUUAAAUAAGAUAAACUUCAAUACCCGUUUUGUUAUGAAGACUCUAAUGACAAUAUGUCCAGGAACUGUACUGUUGGUUUUUAGUAUCUCAUUAUGGAUAAUUGCUGCAUGGACUGUCCGAGCUUGUGAAAGAUACCAUGACCAACAGGAUGUUACUAGCAAUUUCCUUGGAGCAAUGUGGUUGAUUUCAAUAACUUUUCUAUCCAUUGGAUAUGGGGAUAUGGUACCAAAUACAUACUGUGGAAAAGGGGUCUGUUUACUUACUGGAAUCAUGCAGGAGGAAUGUUGUGCCUUUUCUGGUGCAGAGCUAAAUUUCCCACCAGAACCAUAUGUCUGCAAAGCGCACCUUCUCUCUCCCUCAGUGGAUCCCAAGAGAAAUGAGCAAGAAAUGUGGCAACUGCCUUCUUUCAGCUACAGGGUGCUGGGUGCACUGCACUGGUGGUAGCUGUGGUGGCAAGGAAGUUAGAACUUACCAAAGCUGAAAAACAUGUGCAUAAUUUCAUGAUGGACACCCAGCUAACUAAAAGAGUGAAAAAUGCAGCGGCCAAUGUACUCAGGGAAACAUGGUUAAUUUAUAAAAACACAAAGCUGGUUAAAAAGAUAGACCAUGCAAAAGUAAGGAAACAUCAACGCAAAUUCUUGCAAGCUAUUCAUCAAUUAAGAAGUGUAAAAAUGGAACAAAGGAAACUGAAUGAUCAAGCCAACACUUUGGUGGACCUGGCAAAGACUCAAAACAUCAUGUAUGACAUGAUUUCUGACUUAAAUGAAAGAAGUGAAGAUUUUGAGAAGAGAAUUGUUACUCUGGAAACUAAACUGGAAACUUUAAUUGGUAGCAUUCAAGCUCUUCCUGGACUGAUUAGCCAGACAAUCAGCCAGCAACAGAGGGAAUUCCUCGAGGCUCAGAUACAAAAUUACGAUAAGCAUGUUGCCUACAGUGCUGAACGAUCACGAUCUUUGUCAAGAAGAAGGAGAUCAUCCUCCACAGCACCACCAACUUCAUCAGAGAGUAGCUAGAAGAGAAUAAGUUAACCGCAAAAUAAAGACUUUUUGCCAUCAUAUGGUCAAUAUUUUAGCUUUUAUUGUAAAGCCCUAUGGUUCUAGCCAGUGUUAUCUGGGUUCUGAUGUCAGAAUCCUGGAAACCUGAACACAUUUUAGGCCAAAAUGAGUGAAAACUCCUCUUUUUUUCCCCCCUCCUCCUCUCAGAUGCACAGUGAAUGCACCUAGUAUUGCUAUAUUAGAUUGUUCUUCCUGUAAUUUCACUUUUUAUUCAUGCACUUCAAACAAGCUUUACUACUACAAUACAUAAUCUAAUAUAAUAAAAAUGUUAAUUUCUGCACAUAGUUACUUGAUUACUUUGACCUAACUACCAAAAAAAAAGAUCACAAUCAAAAGACCUAAUUAUGAAAUUUAAGAAACUAAAUCGAAGCUUAAUAAUUAUCUCUAAGUAUGAAAGCUAACUGUCUAAACUUUGCUUGCAGUGGAGGGGGAAAAAAACUAAUAUUAAUCUAACAGUGUGCUGUGUAUGCAUAGUCAUUAUAAAAGGUGAUGAACGGCUUUGAUUUCUGAAAUGAUUAAUUAAAAAUAUAGUUUAUCCUAGAAAAUAAGUCUCAGAAUAAGCUAUGGGUUUUAAAAAUAUUCUUAGGGCUUUUAUUUAACAUGCAUUGGUACACACACACACAUAGAUAAUAUAUAUAUACAUAUGUAUUUAUGUAUAUAAAAUUAUUUAUGCAAUGCCCAUAGCAAUGAUCUUUUAAACUGACUAUUCGUAAAGCUACUGGCAUGCAAAAAGCACAGGCAAAGUCCUGUUUUCUUAUUCAGAGUCUCAUAACAAUGCCAGGUAUGUUUGUCCAGAUCAAAAGCAUCACUUUCACCCAGAAGCCUCCUAAUAAUGCUGUUUGGGUUUUGGAAGUGUUAGGUUACUACUUUCUCCACUCCUUUCUUUGUGUUUCUGGGGUGAAUGACUGACUUAGAGUACACACGGGUGUGUGGUGGCAGCACAGUGUUCUGUAUACUUUAUGUUUGGGCAAUCCCCAUGGUUCCUGCUAUGCAGUCAAGCUUAGCAAAACACUUCUAGCAAUAUUUCCAAAAUCUCCUGUAAAAAGCCAGCUGUAGACUGGAGUUACAACAGAAGGGUAUCAAUAGUACUUUAUUUUCAUGCAUAAAAAUAAGGUCUCCUACUUUAUUAAAGAAAAAAAAAAAAAAAAAAACAAAAAACAAACAAAUCACAAAGCAUAGCCACCAGUAGGCACUGGUGAAAAGGUUUUGACUGACAUUUCUCCUGGUUUAUGCUCCAGAGUAGCAAAACUAGAUAAGUUUAAAUGCUCAGUACAUGCAACUUGCAUUAACAAUUCCUAGUUAAAAGCAGGAAAUUUGACUUUAUGAGACAUUUUUAGUACUUGCUAUUUACAAAAUGUGCCAGUCCAGUCUGCCUCUCCCCCAGUUUACAGCCAAGGGUGACAUCUGUAGCUAAACUGGCAGACAUUGCUGACUGUUUCUAUGUCUGCCUGGAAGUAACCAGCUUGCUCAUUAAAGAAAGUGAGGAAAUGCACAUUGCUCCAUGAAACACUGUGACUUCUGGUCAGCAAGGACAGGCAGGAAAGAGUAAUGCAGGAGGUCAGAGCAGAGCCCUUCUGGGCAAGACAGAAGAGCUUUCCAGCAAUCAGAAUUCCCAAACCAAAUACAUAAUCUGAAAAACAGCAGACACUUUAGCCUAUUCAAAUUAAAGGAUCUUCCUUUUCUGGUGUUACGAAUGUAUAAAUGAUGAAUGUAUAAGUGACAUCCAGAGGUAUUGCAUGCUUAUUAAAAGGUUAAUUAUUUCUCUAACUUUUUAUGUCCUUGAGAAAGAUGAAGAGUUCAGUAUUUUUCCCCCUAGAGCAGGACAGUUGCAUGCCUUUGGCGUGCCUUAUUUACAGACUGUGGUAUUUUGUGACUGGAAAUAACAAGCAGUAUGCAUAGUAUUUGCAGUUCUGCUUUUGUUUUUAUGGAGAUCAUUUUCAAAGGAAAAGACGGAUGUUAUAUAGUCCUAAUACUUUUCUAGUGCAGUCCUUAAUUAGAUGAUAUUGUGAGUGGUCAUAAGGCCAGUAGUGAUACAUAAUAUUGGAAUUUAAUAGUCAAGAUUUAGAAAUCUUUUUUCUCCUUUUUUGCAUUUAGUUUAGAAUACUCUUCUUGACAUUGAAUGUGAAAUACACUUUCUGUAGCUUGAAUACAUUCCUUUUUCUCCUGUCAGCUUGAACUAGCUCUUUCAUUGUUUACAUCUUUUUAAUAUAUGUAUAACACCCAUUUUUUGCACAACUGGUUUUUUAAAGAACUGUAGGUCCACUUUGAAAAUUUUUGUCAAUCUUCAAUUUUAAUUAAGAUCCAGCUACAGGUAUUGGGCUGGCUAUUUCUGUUGUGAAAGAGCAGCUGUCAAUCUUUGACCUCUCAAUUUCUUUUACUCACUAGGACUCGGAAGCCUGAACCUAAUAUUAUUGCCACAGGUUUAUGCAAUGGUGAGAUUCAUCAGGAUUAUUUCCAUCAGUAGCAUUCUGUAACAACCUGCCAAAUUGUUCUGGAUUCCUUUAUUUUCUUUUUAAAGCAAAAAA